rnacentral:lncRNA from 1 species
CUUUAAUCUAUGUUGGUAUAAGAAACCUAAGUUGCAUAAUUAGCUUAAGUGAUUUAGGAAAAAGGCACAUCACCAUCUCAUUCAUUAGAUUUAGGCUUAAAGUAAAACAAGUAGAUUACUAAGUAAAUGGCUAGAUUAAAUACUAUUUUUAGCAUAUAGUUUUAGAUCAUAAGCAUUUAUAUUUGUAUUGCAUAUUUAUUUAUUGUUUAGUUACUUUACUUUAUGACCAUUAUCCUCUCAAACAUACGAUUUAGAGUAUUUAGAUUUACUUUUAUUGUUUUGUGUUGAUAAUUAGUCUUUAUAAUAAAUGGCAUCAUAGUUCCUUGAGAGAUCGACCUCGUAGUGAACUUAUCUUUACUAUAGGAACGGUUCGUGCACUUGCGAGUACUAAAAAAGACAAAUCAAGUUUUUGGCGCCGUUGCCGGGGAACUGUGUCCAAAUUUAUUAUAUUGAUUGAUUAUCAAAAGUGUCUUGUGUUUGUUAGUUUGUUUUGUGUUUUUGUGAUUUAUCUUUUUAUGUAUCUUUGUUUUGUUUAUUUGUUUUGUGUUUUGUGUUUUGUGAUUUGUUUGUUUAUGUGUUUUUGUUUUGUUUGUAAAUUUUUUUUUAAUAUGAAAUUUUCUUUUGUUUUGUAUGCUUAGCAGGAAACAACUAGAAGAAGAAUCAACAGAAGAAGUUGAUAUCAUGGCAAACCCACCAAGAGAAGUAGGAGCUGAAAGGCGAAUGGCUAUGAAAGAUUAUGCACUGCCUACAAUUGGUAACACUACUUCAUGCAUAGUUCUAGGUGAUACAUCUAGGAAUUAUGAACUUAAGAGCAUUCAUUUUAAUAUGCUUCUUUCAUUUUAUGGUAUAUGCCUAGUGAGGAUGCAUUAACAUUCAUUAGAGAAUUUUAUGCAAUAGUUCAUACUUUCCCAUUAUCUGGACUUAAUGAUGAUCAAUUAAGAAUGAGGUGUUUCCCUUAUUCAUUGAAAGAAAGAGCAAAGGCUUGGUUAAUGACCUUGCCUCCUAAUUUUUUGAGAAAUUGGAAUGAGAUUUAUCAAAAGUUUAUGAGUAGAUUUUACUCACAGCAAAAGACUAAAGAAUUAAGAGGUGAGAUUUCUAAUUUUUAUCAAGAGAAUGCUGAAUCUUUUCAUGAAGUAUGAGAUCGCUUCAAAUCACUUUUAUUGCAAUGCCCACACCAUGGAUUCCCACUCCCAAUAACUAACCAAUUAUUUUAUGAUGGGUUGACACACCAAUAUCAAUGUAUGGUUGAUAAUGCAGCUGGGGGUGCUAUGUUAAAAAGGACACCUGAUGAGGUUUAUGACAUAUUUGAGAUGUUAGGAGCUAAUUCUAAACAAAAGAGUGUGAGGACAAAGAGAAUAGAAGUAAAUGAAGUGGUAGCUAAUAGUAAGAUGGCCAUGCAAUUGGCUGAAUUGACUAAGCAAGUUAAUAUGCUUACUUCAACAAAAAAAAACUCAUCAAAUAAUGAGGUAUGUGGUAUUUAUGGUAUUUAUGGUUAUAGUGCUAAUGUUUGUUCAUCUUUUGAUAAUUACAGAGGAAAUAUGUAUAACCAAACAAAUUUGAUGGAUUCUUACUAACCCAUGCAUCCUAUAAAUGACCCUUAUUUCCAAUACAUAUAAUACAUGUUGGAAAUACCAUCCAAAUUUUUCUUGAAAAUACAAUUAUCAAGACCCACCACAAUUAUUGAGAAAUCAAAAUCAACCUCAUUACCAAGAUCAAUAUUCUCAAUUCCAAAGGAACUCCAAUCCUUUCUUUCAAGUUCAAGAACAAACUCUUCGAUCUAAUGAACAAAGGAAGCCAAGUUUGGAAGAAACACUUCAAUCAUUUAUGAUGGCUUCUCAUGAUAGGAUGGAGAGGAAUAAGAAAAAGAGAUAUUCCAUUGAGACUUCACUAAAAUGUUUAGAAGCUCAAAUGGAACAAAUUGUUGAAGAGCUCAAUAAAGAGGAACUCUCAAGUCAAUCUGAACAAGUCAAUUCCAUUACUACUAUUAGAAGAGGUGAGGUUGUCGAUAAUAUUGCUAUAGAAACUGAAAAAAGAAAUUCUUCUUCUUAUGCAGAUACACCUAAAAAUGAUAGAUUAAUGCAAAUCAAUAAGGAGAGCAUGCAAAAGAAAGAAAAAGUAAAGCCUAAUCUUAGACUUGAGGAGAAAGAAAAGGAAGCAUCUUGUGGACCUGAAUUUCAUAAGGCAUCUCAGCCUUAUAGACUCCUUAUUCCUUUUUUUUGAAAGUAUUGAGAUGCUUUCUAAAGUUAAUACUAAUUUACCUUUGUCAGAUGUUAUCAGGAAUAAACCAGCUCAUGCAAAAAAAUUUGAAGAGUUGAAUACCAACAAAAGGCGAUAUGCGAACAACGAAAAAGUAUAAGUAGCAAGUGUAAUGUUUCAACAUCAAUUGUCCCUUAAGAUGAAGGUUCCUAGUAGCUUCACCAUUGAUAUUACAAUAGGUGAUAAAAAACCUACAAAAACCAUGUUAGAUUUAGGAGCAAGCAUCAACUUGAUGCCUUAUUCGAUGAAUGAACGACUUGGCUUGGGAGAGUUGAAGCCUACCACUACGUCUCUACAAUUUGCUGAUAGAUCGAUAAAAUAUCCUAGAGGUAUAGUGGAAGACUUGCUAGUACAAGUAAGUAAGUUAAUAAUUCCAAUUGAUUUUGUAGUACUUGACAUGAAAAACACACCAGCAAGGGAUAAAGAGCAAACCAUACUCCUUAGUAGAUCUUUUAUGGCAACUACUAGAACUGUAAUUGAUGUGCAUGAUAGAAAACUUACCAUGACAGUUUUAGGAGAAACUGUGAAAUUUAAAGUGUUUGAUUCUCUAACUUUAUCUCCUAAAUCUACUAUUGAUAAGUGUUCAUAUAAUUAUUUAGAUUCUCUUAUUUAUGAACAAUUAUAUGAUGAUAUUCCAUUCUUAAUUGACAAGACCUUUUGUGACACUUUAGAUGUUCGCAUUAAAAGUAUAAAGCCAUACUUGAAGGAAAUAGCUUAUGACGAAGAGGUGGAGUGCACGGAUGAACGCCCACCAUGAGCAUAAUCAGGAAUGUCUAGCUAUAGACAAUAAACUUAGCAAUUGUAUUUUUAUUUUUAUGCAUUUAAGUUAUUAUUAUUAUUAUUUCUUUUAAUUUUUUAAUUUUUUUAAUUUAUUUUAUGUUUAUCUUGUAGGCUUGUAUUUGAUCCCUAAAAGGCAAUAUGUCUCCAUGAGAAGCAAUUAAAGCUCAAAAAAAGAAUAAAAUAAAAUAAAAUUUGAGCGAGCCACGUUGCGGCAGCGAAUUUUCACACGGGCCCGUAGCAGCCAGCGGCAGAGACGACACGGGCCCGUAGCAGCCAGCGACAAAGACAACAUGUGCCCGCAGCAGCCAAGCAGCCCUGGCAGCCCCAGCAACUGCGUGCUGCCGCGAGGCGUGGGUGCUGCCGCAAGGAGGCCAGCCGCGGCAGCAGCGAGCCUUGGGCCACAUGCCCGCGGCGCAGGCAGGCAGCGCGCACACGGGCCCGCAGCAGAGGCAGGCAGCGCACACACGAGCCCGCAGCAUAAGCACGCAGCGUGAACGAGCGGGCCCGCAGUGUAGGCAAACGCUGCAGCAGCUUAAUGACGUAGUCCGCGGGGCGUCCACAAAAAAAAUAUUUGAGCAAAAAUUAAAAUAAUUAAAUCCAAGAAAUUGGGAUUGAUUAUGAAUUAUUUUUAGUUAAAAUACCCUCUUUUAAAAUUAAAUAUAUAUCCAUCUCCUCCACAUAAAUAGUCAUAUCAUUGAUUUAGGACUUUAUUUUAAAUUUUAUUCUAGAAUUCAUAUUUAUUUAUUAGGACCUACCUUUUAAUUUAUCUUAGGAUUUAAUAUUUCUAGUAUUUUUAGGAUAAUUUAUUAUUUUUAAUUCUUUAUUAUUAUUUUUAAUUCUUUAUUUCUUUAUCCCUUUUAUAAUUAUCAAUGAUGUAUGUUCAAUUGUGCUUCUAAGGUUUGGAUGGUGGAGAUUGGAAUUCAAGUUCAUGGCUUACUAUGCAUUACAAAAUUUCAGGGGAGUAUUCUAUCUUUUUCCUCUCUUUUUGUUCUUUAUUUUUAUAUACAUAAUAACAUUGAGGACAAUGUCAAAUUUAAGUGUGGGGGAGGAAUGGAAAUAGAAUAUUUCUUCGAUUAAACUUUACACGUCAUAUGCCAUGAGAAUUAGCAACUUUGGUUAAUCUUUUGUAAAAUUUUAAUUUUUUCCACUCAGCUUUUUCUUAUUGUUCUAUAUAAGAGUCGAUGAAAGAAUGCUAUUAUGUUAAGAUUCUUGAACUCUUGAGUUAAUUUUUAACAUGUAUAAAUGUGAACUUAUGAGUUAUUUGCACUUAAAUGAUCAAGUGUUCAUCUUUUGCAUAUGGACGUGAUGAGUAGUCUCGCAACAUUUGACAUAGGUAUGAUUAGAAGUGUAUGAUUUAGGUUAUUAUUUCCUUGUUACUAAAUUGGCUUGCCUAAGUUUGUGAGAUAUGAUAUGGGCAAGUUAAAGCUCUAAGUGAUAUAAUUCUACUCCGUUUAAUUUUAGUUGCUUAGUAACCGAGGAUCUUCAUGACCAAUGUCGAUUUUCGCGUAAAAAAGGCAAUUAAGAUUAUGAGUAUGCAAAGCAUCUUGAUAUAUGUUUUGUUAAGUAACCAGGUGUAUUCAUCACCCAUGUUUGUAUUUGCGUAAAAAGGCAUAAUAUAUCAAGAAAGAAACAAAUACCCCAAGUAUCAAAAAUUAAAAUCCAAGAGGUAUAAAGAAAAAAAAAGUAUAAGAACUUCAAAAGCAAGUAAUAAAUCCCUAUUGAUCUCUUAUUUUUAAAUGAAGGUUUUGCCUUUUUGAAUAGGGGUAUAAUAAUUUGGAUUAUGCAUCAUAGUUAUAUCCUUUGAAGAUGAGUUAGACUAUUUGUUGUGAAAUAGAUGUGAAGGAUUGGAUGCUUGAGUCUUUUGAUUAACAAUGAUUGAGUUUAUAUUUUUAUAAAAAAAUUAUUAUGAUUCAAGUGUUCUUAGAUUGGCAUGAUCUUUGCAUUAUUGAGAUUCUUUUGAAUAAUAUCUUUAAGCUGAGUAUGGAUGUUCUUCAUGAUUUUUGCAAAAAUUAAUUCUCAGUUGCUAUUUACUUGAGGACAAGUAAAGGUUUAAGUGUGGGGAUAUUUGAUCGGUUUAUGUAUAGAUAUUUAAGGGUAUUUUAGAGCUUUAAUGAUAUAUUUCUAUAUAUAAAAUUCUGAAAAUAUGUGCUUUUGUCUCACUUAAGCUUAAUUGUCUAUUUUCAGGAAUAUUAGCAAAAAGAGGAAAAUAUGGAGCUAAAAGAAGCUUAAAAGGACAUAUUCAUGUCAAGGUCCAAGAUUAAGACGCAUGGACUGCUAAUUAUAAGGCUCAAGGAAUAUUUUAGUCAUUUUGUAUAAUUAUUAGGAUUUAUAUUAAGAGUUAUUUAUGAGAUAGUAUUUGGUGGAGAUUAAGAUACUUAAAGUCUUAUCUAUUAGAUAGACUUAUAUUAGUAUACUCAUCUCUAGAUAGAUUUAUUUAGAGAAGGACUCUCCUCUAUAUAAAUCUCUGCAAAACCCUAAAAAGGAAAGAGGAGGAAGAAAGAAGGAGGGGAGUUUUCUCCUACCUACUCUCUACACCUGCCACCAUUAUUCUCUCUAUAAUUCUCUACAGUUUUCCAUAAACACUUUAGUUUUAGUUUUCAUUGUUCUUUUAGGAUCUAAGGAGCUUUUCAAGAAGUGAAAACUGAGGACCAAUCUUCUUACUACUUGAAGAAAUUCUAGAUCUUGAGGGAGCUUUUUACUUUCUUAUUUUUUGUCUUUCUAUUUAAUACCAUGAUCAUUGGGUUAAAUAUGUUAGGCUAGUUUUCAUAAGUGUUUAGUUUAGUCUUUCUACUUUUGUAUGAACCUUGUUAUUUAUUUAUUUAAUGAAUGAUUUCUUUACCUUCAUGUCUUUAUUAGUUUCAGUUAUUAUUGUUAGUUAACCAUCAUAUUAAUUUAACAAUAGUAAUUGUUAUGAAAAUCUUUAGGUUUAAAAGUAUUAGAAACAUCAUCUUUACUUUAAUAUAUGUUGGUAUAAGAAACCUAAGUUGCAUCAUUAGCUUGAGUGAUUUAGGGAAAAUGCACAUUACCAUCUCAUUCAUUAGAUUUAGGCUUAAAGUAAAACAAAGAGAUUACUAAGUAAAUGGUUAGAUUAAAUACUAUUUUUAACAUAUAGUUUUAGAUCAUAAGCAUUUGCAUUUGCAUUGCAUAUUUAUUUAUUAUUUAGUUACUUUACUUUAUGACCAUUAUCCUCUCAAACAUACGAUUUAGAGUAUUUAGAUUUAUUUUUAUUGUUUUGUGUUGAUAAUUAGUCUUUAUAAUAAGUGGCCUCAUAGUUCCUUGAAAGAUCGACCUUGUGGUGAACUUACCCUUACUAUGGGAACGGUUCGUGCACUUGCGAGUACUAAAAAAGACAUAUCAAUAGAAAUACAGUUCAAACACCACAUCCUCAACCUCUUAAAAUAUAAACUAUGACUCCAUUACAUUUUUGGUGACUUGUACUCCAAGACGGUCCUUAUAAAAACCGCAAGACAUACUUCAACUUUCAGCUCUAAAUGUUAUACUAACUAAAACCUUCUAACUUGCUUGUGUGUUGUAGGUGUGGUAAGCACAAUUCAUUCUAUUGAGAGAUUAUAGUUUAUUCAAUUUAUAUCAAUAAGUAGACGAUUUUUGUGUUUACCUUAGUGGAAUUCACACGAUCGGCAUCUGAAAGAAAUACACAGACUUUGAUGUCUCAGGGGUCGAGUAAUGAGAAUGCUCGAGUUUAAUAUAUUUCUAUAGAUAGAGAGAGAGCACAAAAGGAAUACCGAAUAAUUGUCGGUUAAUAUGUACCAAAAGAGUGAGAUGAUCCCCCUCCCUCUUUAGGCCUAAAUUCGUGAUCCGGGCCACAUCACUAGAUAUAUCUUCGAGUUCAUUGACCAACUGUUAAACUUCUACAGGUUUUUCCAUUUUAGAAGAUUGUGAUAUCUUCAUUUGGCAGUAAUUCAAUUAUUAAGUUAUUUUCUAGAAAAACACAAUCUGUUAAAGAAUAUUUUCUAUUAUUGAAGACUUGUUCUUAUGCAUUCAGUUAUUUAGACCUAUUCUUUAGGAAUCUUGAUAUUUGUUUAGUUGUUUAGUACGUAUUAGAUAUUUUGCUAUUUUAUAGAAUUAGUUGUUAAACUAUCCUUUGUUGUAUUGCCUAUUUAAAGGCUUUAUGAUUAUCAAUAAAUGAUUUAGUUCGUAUCAGUGGUAUCAGAGCCAAAAGAAAAAAAAAGGCAAGUGAGAUUGUGAGAGUUCAAACACACCUAAAAAAAAAACCGAGAGCACCCUUAUUUUUCUUAUCUUUUCUGGCAAGUAAGAUUGAACGACAGUGUUCAAAUGGCUUCAGAAAAUUUUGUACAGCCAGCCAUUCCACGUUUUGAUGGUCAUUAUGACUAUUGGAGCAUGCUCAUGGAAAACUUCUUAAGAUCUAAGGAGUAUUGGCAUGUUGUUGAAUCAGGUACAACAACACUUGAUAAUGAAGUGGCACUCACAGAAACUCAAAAAGCAAAGCUGGAGGGGCUGAAGUUGAAAGAUUUGAAGGCAAAAAAUCAUUUAUUCCAGGCUAUUGAUCGAUCUAUCCUUGAAACUAUUCUUGGCAAAGAAGCCUCUAAGGAUAUUUGGGAUUCAAUGAAGAAAAAAUAUCAAGGCUCUUCCAGAAUGAAGCGUGCACAGCUUCAAGCCUUGAGAAGGGAUUUUGAGACUUUGUAAAUGAAGGAUGGAAAAUCUGUCACUAGUUAUUUUGCAAAGACCAUGGAGAUAGCCAACAAAAUGUGUUUUCAUGGUCAGAAGAUGGAGGAUGUUGCUGUUGUUGAGAAAAUAUUGCAUUCAUUAGCACCCAAAUUUGAUUAUGUUAUAUGUGCUAUCGAGGAAUCCAAAGACGUUGAUGCAUUUUCCCUUGAUGAACUCCAGAGUUCCUUAUUGGUGCAUGAGCAAAAGAUGAACAUAAAUUCAUCUAUGGAGGAGCAAGCUUUGAAAGCUUUUACUUUUACUCAUUCCUCAAAUUUUGGAGGAAGGGGUAAAGGUAGAGGUAGAGGAAGAGGGAGUCUAGCCAACCAAAGUAAUGGAGAUGGCAGUAAACAUUUCAAAGUAGAUGAUUAACAAUUUCAAAGUAUAGGACGAUUCGACAAAUCUAAGGUGAAAUGUUUAGAUGUAAUAAAUUUGGCCAAUAUCGUUGUAAGUGUUAUACAAAGCUGCCUAACGAUAAAGGAAAAGGAGAGAAAUCACAUUUUGCAGAACAGAAUGAAGCAGAAACCUUGUUGAUGGCUGUUCAAGUCAGUGAGGAGCAUAACUCAGAUAAGUGGUAUAUGAAUACAGGGUGCAGCAACCACAUGUGUGGCAGUAAAUCUUUUUUUUUUCUUAUUUAAAUAAAGAAUUUCGUUCUACUGUGAGUUUUGAUGAUUGCUCUACUGUUAAUGUAAUGGGAAAGGGUGGUAUUAAAAUCAGAACUAAAAAUGGUUUUAUUGAGACAAUUUCCAAUGUCUUUUAUGUUCCUGACUUGAAAAGUAAUUUGCUAAGUGUUGGUCAAUUACAAGAAAAAGGUUAUGUAAUAACUAUUCAACAUGGUGUUUGUGAGAUAUAUGAUCCCUGUAGAGGAGUUAUUGUUGUUAUUUAAAUGAGUUCUAACAGAUUGUUUCCUUUGAAAAUUGAAAGUAUUGAACAUUGUUUGAUAGCUGAAGUAAGAGAUCCCUCAUGGCUUUGGUAUUUUCAAUAUGGCCAUUUGAAUUUUGGUUGAUUAAGGACUCUUCAACAGAAAAAUAUGGUGACUGGUCUUCCUCCUAUUAUUGUUCCUUCUCAAAUUUGUGACGAAUGUGUCGUUGGCAAGCAACAUCGUUCUAAAUUUCCUCAAGGAAAGUCGUGGAAAGAAAAAACUAUGUUGGAGCUGGUUCACUCCGACAUUUGUGGGCCAAUAAACCCUGUUUCAAAUUGUGGUAGAAGAUAUUUCAUUACUUUCAUUGACAAUUAUUCUCGAAAGGCAUGAGUCUAUUUUUUGCAGGAGAAAUCAGAAGCUUUUGGUGCAUUUAAAAGCUUUAAGGCUCAUGUGGAGAAGGAAACAAAGAUAACCAUUAAAACUCUCCACACUGAUCAUGGUGGAGAAUAUUACUCAAAAAAAUUUGAUAUCUUUUGUGAUGCACAGGGUAUUCAAAGGGAACUUACAGUUGCCUACACACCACAACAAAAUGGUGUGUCGGAGAGGAAAAAUAGAACCAUCCUCAACAUGGUGAGAAGCUUGCUGACAAGAGGAAAAAUUCCUAAGAAUUUCUAGCCUGAAGCAGGAAACUGGAGCAUUCAUGUGUUGAACAGAAGUCCUACUUUUUCUAUUCAAAAUAUGACACCUGAGGAGGCUUGGAGUGGACGCAAACCAGCAGUAGAUCACUUCAAAGUUUUCGGUUAUAUAACAUUUGCACAUGUAUCAGAUCAGAGAAGGAAGAAACUUGAUGAUAAGGGUGAAAAAUGUGUCUUUUUAGGUGUAAGUGAAGCAUCCAAAGCAUAAAAGGUGCUCAACCCACUCACAAAGAAGAUUAUUACCACCAGAGAUGUCAUUUUUUGUGAAGAAAGAACUUGGGAUUGGAGCGGACAUAAGCUCUCUCCAUUCAUUUCUAAUGAAGAAAAUGGUGAAGAAUUAGAAGAGUGCCUACAACAACAGAGUUCAGCAGUUUCAGUACCUGAAUAUUCAACAAAUAUUUCUCCAAAUGUUGCUGAAAUUCCAGAAAUAGUAGUAGAAUCUCCUACUGCAGCUGAAACCAAUCCUCGACGUGUUCAGAAAAGACCUUUAUGGAUGGUUGAUUAUGAAGUAUCCGGAGUUGACCAAAUUGAAGAUCCAGUCACCCACUUUGCUUUAUUUGUUGAUUGUGAUCCUAUUGUAUUUCAGGAAGCUGUCAAAGAUACAAAAUGGCAAAAAGCAAUGGACGAGGAAAUCAAGUCUAUAAAGAAAAACAACACUUGGGAAUUGUUAGUGCUUCUGAAAGGGCAGAAAUCCAUUGGUGUUAAAUGGAUUUAUAAAACAAAGCUUAACAAAGAUGGAGAAGUUGACAAGUAUAAAGCCAGGCUUGUUGUAAAAGGGUACAAGCAAGAAUAUGGUGUGGAUUAUAAAGAGGUGUUUGCUCCAGUUGUAAAACUUGACACUAUCUGUUUGGUAUUGUCUAUAGCUGCUCUUAAUUCAUGGCAGAUAUAUCAAUUGGAUGUGAAGUCGGCAUUUUUACAUGGUGAGCUGCAAGAAGAGGUGUACAUUGAUCAACCCCUUGGCUAUGUGAAACAAGGCAGCGAAAGUCAAGUAUACAAACUGAAAAAGGCAUUAUACAAACUAAAACAAGCCCCGAGAGCUUGGUAUAGUCGUAUAGACGCUUAUUUCUCUAAAAAUGGUUUUCUUAAAUGUCCCCAUGAGCAUACGCUUUUUACAAAGCUAGGGGAUAAUGGAAAAAUUCUUGUUGUGUGCCUAUAUAUUGAUGAUCUCAUAUACAUUGGCAAUGAUAGUGCUAUGAUUGCUGAUUUUAAGAAAAAUAUGUUGAAUGAAUUUGAUAUGUCAGAUUUGGGAUUAAUGCAUUUUUUUCUUGGUAUUGAAGUUGUGCAGUCACCUCUUGGUAAUAUUUAUUUCACAAAAAAAAAUAUGCUCUUGAAAUACUUGACAGAUUCAAAAUGAAGGAUUGCAAUCCAGUUAGCACUCCAAUUGAAUUUGGGAUAAAGUUUAUGAAAAAUGAUGGAGGGAGGAAGAUAAAUGCUACUUUGUACAAGCAAAUUGUCGAAAGCUUGAUGUAUCUAACUUCUACAAUGCCUGACAUCAUGCAUGGUGUUAGUUUAAUUAAUCGAUAUAUGAAGAAUCCAACAGAGAAUCAUCUCUUAGCUGCCAAAAGGAUUUUUUGCUAUUUGAAAGGUACAACUAAUCAUGGAAUUUUGUACAAGUCAUGAGCAAAAGAAAAUUUGUUUGGUUUUUCAGAUAAUGACUAUGCUGAAGACGUUGAUGAUAGGAAAAGUACAUUUGGUUCUGUUUUUAUGAUGAGUUGUGGAGCUGUGUCAUGGUCAUCGCGAAAGCAACAAAUUGUGACCUUUUCAAGUACAAAGGCUGAAUUUAUUGCAGCAGCCUAAUGCUCUUGUCAAGCUAUAUGGUUGAGAAGGUUACUUGAAACACUUCAAAACCAGCAAAAGGAUUCAACAAUUAUCUACUGUGAUAAUGUUUCAGCAAUUAAAAUUUCGAAGAAUCCGGUUCUACAUGAAAAGAGCAAACAUAUUGAUAUCAUAUACCAUUUUCUACGUGAUCUUUGUAAAGAUGGUAUGAUAAGUUUGGUAUUUUGCAAGAGUGAAGAGCAAGCAGCUGAUAUCAUGACUAAACCACUUAAAGAAGCAGUGUUUGUGAAGCUUAGAAGCAUGCUGGGAGUUUGUUCUUUGCAAUAUGUUAUUUUAGAUUCUCAUUAAACUGAUUUUUGCAGAUAUUAGUUUAACGGAGGAUGUUAAAGAAUAUUUUCUAUUAUUGAAGACUUGUUCUUACGCAUUCAGUUGUUUAGACCUAUUCUUUAGGAAUCUUGAUAUUUAUUUAGUUGUUUAGUACGUAUCAGAUAUUUUACUAUUUUAUAGGAUUAGUUGUUAAACUAUCGUUUGUUGUAUUGCAUAUUUAAAGGUUUUAUGAAUAUCAAUAAAUGGUUCAGUUCAUAUUACAAUCAACAUAUGCUACAAAACGAAUCAAGUAAAAUUUCGAUAAUUUACUGAACUCUCAAAUUUAAAUAUUAAAUAUGUAGCCAUAUUAACUAAUAUUUUAUUAUUCUAAGAAAUUAUAUCAAUCUAGAUUAUUAUAAGAUAAAAAUAAUAAUGAAACUUAAAUUCUUUUAUUCAUAGUGAAUUACAAUAUUAUAGGCGAGUUAAGUUUGUAGUUUAGUUUUAAAAUUUGUACUUUUAUUUGAGGCCUUGGAGAGCAGUGAUAUAUAAUAGUGGUGGGUUUUUUAUUUCUUUCGGGAGCAUCGGAAAAAGAUAGAAUUCCAAUAUUCUGGUGCUGUCACUUGCAGGGUUGAGAGAGAAUGGAUAAACGUGUAGAAGAACGACACAUCAGCUACUUCUGACUUAUUUAACAAAAGCUUUCGGAGAUGGUAAACUUACAGGAGAAUGACACAUCACUCACGGGCUAAUUUGACCCAAAAAGAUUGAGCGUUCUAGAGCUAUAAGAUAAAGAAACGUGUCAAAUUCCAAGACUAUCUAACAAAUUAAAGAAAACAAACACAGCUUUUUUGCCUUCAUUUUAUGGAAAUGUCUGUUUCUCUUAUUAUUUUAAAUAAGAUAUGAAAAUGAUUUGAGGCAGUAAGUUAUGUCAGUCAAGGAAUAUGAGAAAAGGAAAAUGCUUUUUCCUCUUAUAGGUAAUUCUCUACACGGAUUUUCCAGAAAAUGAUAGACAAUAUUCUUUUCAAAUUCAGUACGUGUCGAGUUUGUAGAGGGUUCAUUGUUCCAUUUCAUUGUUUACUGUUAUCUUGAUUCGAUUCACCAUUAAAAUUAUGUACCAUGUAAUUGUGUUUUGAUACGAUAUUAUUCACAACCGAACAAUUACUUAAUUAAUAUCUAUUCUUUUGCUUAAACAAAAUAUCAUGAAUCAGUCACUACUGUCAAUAAUGUUAUAAAUAAUUUGUACAGGAUAAAAAGGGACCACACUCUCUCGAAGUUCCUUCUUUAAUCUUUUGGUGACUAAAGUUGCACUAAUUUAAGUGUGUUUCUUGUAUUCAUGGACAUUCGCCAAUUUUAAUUCUAUUUUUCUUCUCUCAGAAAUCAAAAGCUGAAUGCCCAUUUGCCCCAAGAUAUUGUAUUAAAGUCGAAAAAGUUUAUGAUUCUUCAUUCUCAUCAACCAAAUAAGUCAUUGACAUAUGUUAGAUGCCAUAUAUAUAUUAUACAUAAAUAUUUAUCUUUAAGAGGGAUAAAAAAUUUACAGACUCAGUAAACCAUCUUUAGUGGGCUUCCUUUAAAAGAAUUUUUCACAAAUAGACCACUCGAUAUUGUACAAGCAUUUUCAAUCGAUCUUCAGCUUAUAAUUGAAGCAAAAACCGACUACUGAUCGGUUCAUUCAGCUAUCUAAAAACAAUAGGAUAUUGUACAAAAUUUUUAGUGCUUUUAAAAAUAUAAUAAACAUAACCAAAUCAAAUAUAAAUAGCAUUUGGUUCAUUAUUUUUUUUUUUUCUGACUCAGUAUAAAUCAAUUAUUCAUUGUCAUUUAGUUCUACAUAUUUGUUACUGGAAAUAUAAUUAUGCAUUCAACUAAUCAAAGUAGACUACUUGAUUAAUGAGAAAUUGAAAUCUACUUUUUAAUAUUCGUUUAUAUUGAAGUAACCAUGCAUAAUAUAUGAACUCAAUCAACUACUAAAGACCAAAAUGGAAACCGAGCAAAACAAAAUAAUAGAAAAGUGAAACGUUUGAGCGUCUGAAGAAGAAAAAUCGUCUGGUGGGUUUGGAAAGAGUUCUGUUUUUAGCUAACAGAAACGGAGAGCAUAUGAGAAACGAUUGGGCAUGGGAGAAAAUGAUGGUUAACUAGCUGCUAGGGGACUAGUGUAUGGUACAUAAAUAUGGUUUAGUUAGGGUGACAGUGUGCCACCAUGGAUACGAAAACAAGAAAUUUACAGUUAGUUAGUUAUAAGUUUAUUCUAUAUUUAUGCAGAAGAUUAUUAAUAGUAAUACAUAUCUAAUUAUAUGGUACUAUUCCUAAUUAAUUUAAAAUAGUAUGACCUUAAUUGAUUCUAGUUCGGUUAUCAGUAAAAUUUAAUAUUGGAAUGAUAAUAAUUCUUUUAGUUAGAUUCAAUUAGGUUUUAAGAGUUUUUAUAAUUAGCAUUUUUGACACAAUUUUCCGAUUGAUGUAGAAAUUAUCCAGUUUCAUUCCGAAGCAAAAGCAAUUUUCAAGUAAAAUAAGAAGAGCCUAAACUGUAAAAAUGAGAUUGUGGGAAGGCAAAAUAAGUGUCCCAAAAACAUCAUUAAUUCAAACUCUAACUUAUAUAUCCAAUUAGCACGAGACAUAUUAAAUUCCGGAGAUUUUUAUCUAGGCAUAUAUACUACGACUAAUAGGAUAUAAAUGUUUUAUACUUAGUAUAGGAUGUUGACAUGCACUUCAUUAUUUAAAGCUAAUGAAUAUGUAUCAAUUAUCUAUAUUAAACAUAUUCAAGAAUUUUUUUUAAAUCCCGAGAAUCAGCAGGGAACACUUGCAAGGCUAAAUACUGCCGGGUGACUAGUAGCCAAGUAGUUGAAGCUUCCAACAGCAAGUCCUUUUCAUCCUUGUUGUCUAUAAAAGCUCUUGCAUUAUCACACUCUACUUAAACCAAAAACCUCAAAACAUUUCCUAGCUAGUCUCCGACUUAAUUGUUUUGCGAUAUUCUUUUUAAACCUUCAUGUCAAGAGUCAUGGAGGCACUCGCUGUAGGGAGAGUCGUAGGAGAAGUUGUUGACAUAUUCACCCCAAGUGUGAAACUGAUUGUUACCUAUAACGCCAACAAACAAGUAGCUAAUGGCCAUGAACUCAUGCCUUCUGUCCUUACUUCUAAACCUAGAGUUGAGAUUGGUGGUGAAGACAUGAGGACUGCUUAUACCCUUGUAAGUGUUCCCAUUUUCUUUCUUUCUUGCUUCUUCUUUUUCUUUUAGGUUGGAUACGUAUAAAUGAUAUAUAUGGUUAAGAAAUUACGUAUUAUUUUGUAGUACUAAUAAUGAUCUCUGUUGGCGUUUCUUUCUUGUGUUUGAAGAUCAUGACAGACCCUGAUGCUCCGAGCCCUAGUGAUCCGAACUUAAGAGAGCAUCUCCACUGGUUCGUAUCAGUGAAUCUACUUAUUAAAAAAUAUAUAUAUUCUAAAUUAACAGUAUUGCAUAAAGAGUUCUCUAAUAUACAUGUGCCUUUCAGGAUGGUCACUGACAUUCCUGGUACAACUAAUGUUUCUUUUGGUGAGUUUUUCUGGUUUUAAAAGUUUCAAGUAAUACAUGCAUAUACCCCUUGGUUAAUUAAAGACUAACAUUAAGGGGUUCUGAUGAUUGAACGAAACAGGUAAAGAAAUUGUGAGCUAUGAAACUCCAAAACCAGUGGUAGGCAUCCAUCGAUAUGUGUUCAUCCUAUUUAAGCAGAAAGGAAGGCAAACGGUGAAAGCACCGGCUUCAAGAGACUAUUUCAACACCAGGGGGUUCUCAGAAGAGAAUAAAUUAGGCCUUCCUGUGGCUGUUGUCUACUUCAAUGCACAGAGAGAAACUGCUGCAAGAAGAAGAUGAUGAUCGAUUCCAGACCGGAGUUUCAUUUCGUUUCUUUUGCUGUCUUUCACGAUAAUAAAGAGUGUUUCCCAUAGUCAUCUGAUACUCUGUGCGCUGCUUCAUGGAGCUAAGCAUGAAUUGCCACGACAGAAAUACAGCUGCGCCUUUUUAGGGUUUGUUAGAGGUGUUCCCAGAGGAAGUACUGUACUGUACUUUGCGAUGUCUAGCUUUUAUGUAUGUAGGAGACUGUUGCUGCCUCUCUCUCUCCUCUGUUACUUACUAGGUUUUGGGAUAUGUGGAGCCCGCCUGUUUUUAGGGUUCCUUCUAAGGAGGAUCUAUGUUGGUAUUGGACAGGACGCAAUGGUAAUAAUAAUAGCAUUAAGCAUAGUAAAGCUGUUUUAUGCUCCAGUUGAUAUGAUGUGUAGCAAGCUAUUACAAAACCUGAACUGAACGAUUUGUCUUCAGCUUCCCCAUUCUCUGAAUCUGUCAUAUAGCAGAGGUCUCUAUUUACUGCCAUACCGCCAGUACUAUGAUCACUACUUCAAUAAUGCAAAGCAGAUUAGCUUUCAGCCACCAAGUUUUUUGUGUACUUUUGUGUUUACAUUAUCCAUAUGAAGCUAAAAUUAUAGAGGUGAGCUGAAAUGAACCAAGGACCUAAUCAUUGUCUGCACAUCUAAAAAAUUACUUAAUGGAAGAAUUAAGCACAGCACAGCUCAGCAAUUGCAUGUUCAAUAUUUGAGGGAGCCUUAAAGAUUUCCAUCCUAAUAGGGUUCAUACCCUUAAAUCUUGAGCCUUGACAACUUUGAGAUACAGAAAGUCAUAGAAGCAAGCACUUGAUUGAUCUCCUAAACCAAUUCUACCUCAUAACAAAUUAGCAAUUAAUUAAAAUAUAGCAAAAGAAGAAAUGGGAAAAAGAAGCAUCGGCAAACACAUUCACCGUGAUUGCUUGUAAUUAAAUGACAGGACAAAGAGAAGAAAAAAGAUAUUUGAUCCUUAAUGACAUUCAAUUACAAUCAAUCUAUCAACCGCCCUCACCCCAUACAAUUUUUACAACCCUCACCAGAUAUAUUAAGAGGACAUCUAAAUGGCAGUCAACUGCCAUGUUCUCAAACCCAAUCCAUUACCAUGUAGCCGGCCAAAACAAAAACUGGAAGCAGACAUGGAUUUUGAAAAAUUUUAAUGUUUGAGCCCUGUUUGACCAAAUAUCACACCACCUUGGAAACGUGCAUAUCUCAAUUGAAAUACUGAAUUUCCAGAAUCCAAACCCCAAAGUCAUGCAUUUAUCUCUGAAUUGCACUGAUGCUCUCUGCUGCAGCUUCUUCUGCCCCAAAACAUCAUCCCUGAACAGCUUGUUUUUUCUAGUCUUGGACCUUCAAUUUUAUCCUGUUCUACAGAUGUUGCUUGUGAACCGCGAGGAGACUCAUCUUGUGUUUCUACAGUUCGAGGUUCAAACGAUGGACAUGGGCCAUCAUUGCAGGUGCAUAAAGGGAUUGCAACGGAAGGAAAGGGGCUACAAGUAACUGGGCAGAGAAAAUCAGAAGAAACUGAAGCCACACGAUUCUUUCGAAUCUCUGGUACACAUGCUGGAGAUUGCCCGUCUGUAUCACGAGAGUGCAGCAUGCAUGGGGUACAAAGGCCAAGGGACAAAGGAAGUUUGAUUUCCUUAGCCGGGGAACCAGGCAAUUUUUCAAAAGAUACAAUAGCAUGCCUGCAAAGAGGACAAGGAAUGGAGCCAGGCGGGCCUACCAUUUCAGAAGGAAUGUUGCUUGUUGAGCAGAGAUACAGUGCACAUCUUACGCAAAGUUCAUGUCUACACCCUGUGUAUGAGAAGAAUUAACCAUCCAUCAAAUAAGGGCAAGUAUGGUCGGGUAACUGAACCAUGCACCAAUUAACCAAACCUCAUAAUACAGUUUGAACAAUUUGAAAUUGGAACCAAACCAAUUAAUUAGGUUAAUCAGUCUUUCAGAACUUGCAUUACAGGAUAUAGUGGUACAAAAAAAUUUCCUAUUUGCCCUUCUAUACACUCACUUUCUUGUAAACUACUCAAACACAACACCGCAAUCCACUUGGGUUCAGCCAAAGCAGACAUCAUUCACAGCCUUUAUUUGAGAAGUCAUAAGAAUAAUUAGUAUCUCAUGAUAUUUGUUUAUUAUCUGCAUGUAAAGUACCAGCUAAAAGGACAUAGUAAACUAAAAGGUGGACAUCAACAUAUAUACCUUAGAUGACAAAGAGGUCAUAUAGCCUAUGCCAAGCAUCACAUUGAGCACUCAUUUUCUUUCACAUUCAGGAAUGUCUGGAUACAACUGUGGUUUUACGUCGGUUCAAACUUGAGUGUUAAAAAGAGAAUAUAGUAGGUUGAUGACUAAUGAUGGGAUCAUUCCUUUUGUUCUAGAUGAUUGUCUAUAAUGAAGGAAUUGAGUUUAAAACUCAUGGAAUAAAUCAUUUCAUUGAUCUAGACAAAUUGUCCAAAGCUGCCUGUAAAUCUCAGAUAACUUGAUGAGAUCAGGACUGUUCAAAGUAUUAAAUUAAAUAUAUAUUUACAUUUCAAAGGAAAAUUUACAGGACCAAGAUGAAAUAAUCCAGAAAUCUAUGUCCACAACAUUUAGCCACAACCAAGAAAGAAGAAAGAGAUAAGAGGAGGAGGGUGUUGUGAAAGAAAGUAGAACAAAGAAUAGAUAGGAAUGAGGCACAUUUAUUUAGAGGUAGAGUCAGAUAAAGAUUAAGGGCGAGAUAAGAAAAUAUUUCUCUGAUAAAUUGCUAAAAUGCAACAAUAAUCAGCAAAUGGACAGACAUAAAAAUACCUGAAGGUGAUACUAGGACCCAAAAAGGAAGGGCCAAAGUUAACAUGGAGAAACACAAAGAGAGCAGGCUGUGGCCCAUUAUUUAGCCAAAUUAGAUAUAUGCAAAAAUCUGUUUUGUUCCUAUUCUUUUCAUCCCAAACAUAAUUGUCCGUGUAAGACCUCCAAAGCUUCCAUGUUUAUGAUGGCCGGAAUUACUGAAACAUUCGCUAGACAAAUACAUCCAUGAAAGUUUAGGCUCAAUUAUAUGGUCUGAACUUACUGAUUGGCCCACCAAACCUGUGUUUUGAAAUAAUAAUAGGAUGAACCUUACAGGCAGGACAUCAUACCAAACAAUAUCAUGUCAUGUAAAUCUAAUUGCAGCAUUGAAAAGUAUUAAUUAACAAAAAGCUCCUAAGUGCAGUACUUUGAAAUUCUAUUAUAUUAGUAAAGUGUGUGAUCCAUAUUGAAGAGAGCAAAAUUCUUUGUCAGCUCUGAUAAACUACCAAAAAAUAGUGAGUGAACCGCAACACAAGGCAAAACGUAAUAAGCAGAAAAACAGAGAAAGAAGGACAAACCUUCAGCAGCUACAUUACAUGCUCUCUCCAGGCAAACAGCACAAAUAUCAGGGUCGUCAGAGGAGGUCGUCAAGCACUGCAUCCCACAUUCUCUACAGAAGGCAAAAAUAUCAUGUUUACUAUUAACUAAAUGGAAUUAGUUGCAAUUUUUUAAACAAGCAUCAUAAAAUCAGGAUUAGGUUUGCUAAUAAGGAUUAUAUAUUUGCUGAUGUGAAAUAUAUAGAACCAAGUUUGAUAUAUGGGAGCAGCUUCUUAUUUAUAGAACAAGGUCAGCUUCAUGCUCCGUGCUUAUGGAAAUCAUCAAGUACAUGUGCAAUAAAUAAAAUAUAUGUCCAUAUAAAUCUGCACUUAUAAAAUGUGUGAAUGUGUUCAAAUAUAAUAAGCUACAGAAGUACCUUGCUAUGUUAAGCACACUCAAAAGCGGCAAUGAUAAAAAAUUAGAAUGAGGAAAUCUUGGCACAACUGAAUCAGAAUAUGGGGCCAACAAUGGUUCAAGCCAAUGGCGGCCCCACAUCCUUGCAACAUCAACUGGCAGCCACCUGGAAAGAUGAAUGAAUUUGACACGUCAUUUUUUUACAUGAUGGCCGAGAACUUGCACCAAGAAAGAAAAAAGGAUACAAAUGCAAGAUCGAAAGCAAUUUACCCAUUGCAAUUUAAUGUCAUCCGACUGGCACCUCUAGCAAUAAGGAUCUGCGGAAUUAGGAACACAGUCAUCACACACUAGAAAAAGUACAGAUGAAUCUAGGAUUAUUAAGAAGAUAAAUCUAAAAUCAUUUUGAAUUUGUAGUAUUCAUGCCUGACAACACUUUAAAUUUCCCCCACAAGCAGCAUAAUGCAAAGGAGUGCUUCCAGCUCCUACAAGUAUAUGUACAAUGUAAGUACCCAAAAGAAAGAUGGAAAAAAAAAAUUCUUAAAACAAAAUUGUGGUGCAUCAAGUAGAAACACAAACCUAUCAAAUCCAUUGUAGUUCCAUAAUGAAAUGUCACUGCUGACACAUUUGCAUGAAUAUCAAGCAAAAGCUGUACACAGUCAAAGUAUCCAUUCAAUGCAGCCAUAUGAAGAGCAGUAAUACCACCAUCAGCCGCCUUAUUUACAAACUUGGACAGUGCACUGGAAAAAAAUAAAACUUAAAUAAAAAAUUCCAUGACAUCUGUGACCACUGAUUUGAGCACAAAAUCAAACAUAUUACAGCUUCUUGGAACAUCAAAUAUAUGUGCCCUUCAAGCAUAAAUUAAUAAAUGCUUCUAGAACAACUAAUACCAUUGGUCAAAUUUGUGCUUCGCACUGGAUGCAUCUGCAGGAUCCACUUCUGGCUGAGAAUGCGUAGCUUCAAAAGGAGAGCUAGGAAUAAAGUCAGCAACAACUAGCCUUAUGCAUCUUGCAUGCCCAUUUACAGCUGCAAAAUGUAGAGCAGUCCUUCCGCUAAGAUAAUCAGCCCGUGUAACCUAUAGAGACAAAAAAAUGCUGAAGUGAAGGAAAAAAAGUAGCACUUGGGGUGUUAAGAAUAAACUGAAAAGUGAGCUUACAUUGCAUCUAAAGAGCAGAAGAGUCUGUACAACUUCCCAGUGUCCAUAUCGACAAGCUUGCAUCAAUGAUGUCUUCAAACAGAACAGAAAUCAUAUGAGAUUGAAUAUUGGUAGCCAGAAAAGAUCCACUACUUUCUUGUUUCUUUUUUCUUUUUAUAUGUUUGGUUUCAGUGUCCAAUCAUGAAAAUCCAGCUUUCGCAAGCAGAUUGAUUCUAAACAAUAUUUGCCUACCACUAAUCACAAUUCCAAAUGACUCCCUAGCUUUGAUUUUCCAAUUCCAAAUGACUCCCUAGCUUGGAUUUUCCAAUUCCAAAUUCCAGAAAUAAAUCAGAGAAUUGGACCAAAUAACAAUUCACGUAGCCGACAGAGAAUUAGAUAAUAAAAGAAAAACGAAGUUUACAUCGAAAUGAAGAAUCCAGUAAGGUUACCUGUCCACAGUAAUUCCUUGAAUUCACAUCAGCUCCAUUCUCAAGCAACAAGGCGACAAUCUACCAGAAUUUAAUCAACCAUAAAAUUUCAUUAUUUAUUUUAGCAAACACUUAGAUAAAAUUAUUAAAAAAAAAAAAAAAAGGAAAAGCAAGGAACCUCGUUGUGGCCUUUAGCGGCGGCGAAGUGGAGAGGAGAAUUAAGACCGCCAAAAGUGGAGUACUUAGCGAGACAAGGAUUGCAAUCCAAUAGCAUCUUUGCUUCUACGAAAUCCCCAUCCCUUGCAGCCGAUACUAAUCUUUCGCCGGAGGCAGAGCAUCCAAAUGAAUUCCCCAUUUUCUUUCUUUCCUUUUCUUUUAGAAAAACAAAUCCCUCUAUAUACCUGUAUUUAAUUUCUUUUCUUUCUAAGGGAAUGGCAUAUUAGGUCAACUGUCGUGGAAACAGGAAAAAAAGAAAAGAUUGAAAAAAGCAGACGAAAAAUGUGGAGUUAAUAUCACAAAAAUGAAGUCCAGAAAGGAGAGAAAUGUAGUUAGAAAUCGGUUUAUUUUUCUUUUAGAACCGAAAUUCGGUGGGGGUGGUGACGUGUCAGGUUGUUUUUUCUUCUUCGUUCCCUCUGUAAUUUUUAAUUUUGUUUUGGCGACAAACAAAUUGAAGUGAGAGAGAGAGAGAGAGAGAGACUGUUGUUUGUUGGUGUUGAGCCACUUUACUUUUUCCUUUCUUCUUUCUCUCUCUUUCUCGGGUUUGUCUCUCUCUCCUCAUCUUGGGUCCUUUCUUUUCUAUUUUGGUUUUUCUAUAGUAUCUACCGAUACGAGAUUCCCAUCUCAGCUUAACAUAGAAAAUUCUAGUUCUUAAGAUAUUUAUGCCCAUCCAAUCUUCUACUACCCUAUGUCCUAUUAUUAUUAUUUGGUUAAAUUUAUUUUUCCAAUUUAGAUUUAUAUUUAUCUUUUCGUUUCAAAAUAGAAUAUUCAAUCUUAAAUUUUAAUAAAUUAGAUUAUUAAUCAUAUUAUAAAUAAAAAGAUCUUUUAAUUAAAAAAAUUUAAAUUUUCAGAAUUUGGUCUUUAUUUCCUCAAUAUUACUUAUACGAAAUUAACAUAUAAUCUUUAGGAAUAAAAUAAUUAUUUAAGUAAUAUAUUAAUAUUAAAUCUUGAAUUUAAAAUAUAAAUUAUAUGUUAUUAAUAAUUUCAUAUUUCAAAAUUAUGCUCCUCUAUAAUAAUCACUAAUAUAUUCAAAACUUUAGUGCUCAACUUUUAUUACGUACAAUCAUCUAUACUCUUUUUUUUAAAUUAUAGUAAUAUGUGUCCAAAUUGAUAUUUUAAAAUUAAUAGUUCAUAAUAUUUAAUAAAAAAUCUUAAAAUAGGUUGCAAUAUGAUAAUGUACUUUAAUAUUUAAACUUUAUAAUGAUUAAUAUAAAAAUAUAUUUUUUUAAUAGAAACAUAUAUCUAAUAAUUAAUGCUUUAUUACAUUUAUCUCAUUUGAUUUUUAGUUUAUACUAUCAUUUGAGUUAAUUUAUAUAUUAUCUCAUGUAUAAUAAAAUGCGAGAGAUAGAUCAAUAAAAUUAAAUUAACGAUAAUGAACAAGAAAAUAGUUAUAUUACAUAUAAAAUAUUUUUAUAAAGAGAUAUUUAAUUAUUUGUAAAAAGAUAUUUAAUUAUCAUAUGAUAAAUUAUAUUAAAUAUUAUUAUUUUUGUUAUUAUGUUAAAUAAUUUAAUAUUUAGUAAUCCGCAUAACAAGAUUAUCAAAAUUGACACGGCAAUGAUGCGCUAAUGCUAAUCCAUUGAUUCGUUUAAGUUUCAGGCCAAAGCGAGUUUGAUCAAACUUAAUUUUUAAGUCUAGAUUCAAAUUUGACUAUACACGAAUCUAAACUUUUGACUAUAUUUGACCCAUUAUAAAAAAUAUUCUAUUUUUUUAUUUAUAAUUUUUGAAUGACUAACUUAAGGUGAUGUGGUAAAUUUCUUUUCUUUUAAAUGAAAUGUACCCCAAACUAUACCACCUCACCAUCUUCUUCCUUUUCUUUUUCACAAAUCCCUUACCACCACCGCCCCCUCACCAUCAUCAUCUCCCGAUUAUUGCUAUCAAUCUCUUUCUUUUAUAUUAUAUUUUCUGUCUUUUAUGAUAAAUCACUCACCAAUUAUCUAGCAGCAAUAUCAUAGAGUUUCUCAUUGUCUCUCAUAUGAUUUUAGUAUGAGGCUUUAUAAUUCUCUUUUCUUUUUUUUUGGAUCUCUACAUUCGAACACUCCUUGUUUAUAUAAGUUAUGGAGAUGUAACAUGUAUAUGAUUAUUAUACAAGGAGGGCCUCGCAUUAUGUUGCCCUUCCUGGCUGGCCACUGCGGUGGCCUUGUUGAGAACCUUAACAGCAACAGCAAGAACUCGAGACCAAUUCUAACAUUCUCACUAAUGUAGCCUUUAUACACAGUCAUAAAUCCAUCUUUUUGCAGAAUGUAACCAGAACGGAUUAGUAAUAGUUUCAAGCUUAUAUAAAGUGAAGGCAAUAACAUGGGUAUAAAGAAUAAUAUUCUUCUUGGAAUUGUCAAAGUUUCAAAGAGUAAAAGUUGGAUCACUCAGAUUUGAGAUAGACCGACUAUGCUUCUUCUCAAAGAGAGCAUUUUUUACAGCAGAAGAGAAUAAUUGUUGAAUUACCCGCCAAAACUUCCCACUCAAAGACAAAAUAAAUAUGGGAGAAAAAUUAUCUCCGAGUCCAAAUCAAAUGCAAAAAUUCAGUUUAACUAAAACCAAAUUCACCGAAUCCACAAACGACAUUAACUUUGUUAGUUAUGAGUUUGUUUUCUAUAAAUCCAAAUCAAACCCAGAAUUCAGUUCAAAACCUUUAUAAAAACCCAAUGCACAAAAUCCUUGAGAAAGAAAGAAGAGAUAAUAAAUUUUUCAUUUGUGAGUCAGUUGUCUUUAAAUUUAAAUCAACCUACAAAGCAGUUGAAGUAUAAUAGUGCAGAUUCUCAUUCUUUGUCGUGAUGAUAAUGGGACGGUGGUGGCAGGGUAUUUGUAAAAAAGAGAAGGAAGAAGAAGAUGGUGAGUUAAUAUAGAGUGGGAUGCAUUUUAUUUAAAAGAAAAGGAUUUUCCACAUCACUUAAAAUUAAGGGUAUUUAUUUUUUUCGUUUAAUGAGGAACUUGAGUUAAUACAUUUUUAAAGAUUAAGAAUUUAAGUGAUACAUUCUCUCGCAUUAAAUGAUAGAGGCACCUUUUCCUCCUAUUAUUUUAUCUAAAUAUAAAAGAAAAUAAAGGGAUGUAUCAUAUAUAGAUGUGAGUGGUAGCCAGAGCGAGAUAAAUGUGCAUUGAAUGAAAUGAAGGGUGGAUGAUUAUGGUGAUCCGGACGCUUUCACGUGCAAAAGUAGACACUACAGACGAUUAGGGAUGUGGAUUAGGUGAUGUUUGGUGAGACGUGGCUCUUCAUCCUGCUUAAAACCCGAAGCAAAAUCCACGCACAUUUGUCUAUUUGCCAAACACUUUGUUGUGCUUUCUGUUUUUCUAUUCUAUUUGGUUUACGUAUUUUUUAUUUUCAAAUUGACAUUUUUAAAAAGUUUAAUUUAAUAAUUAUAAUUAUUAACCGGUUUAACCUCUAAGUGAAGAGGUAUAUCUAAACUAAACAAGAUUUUCCUUGCAUAAAUAACACAAACACUUUCUAUUAGAUAAAUAACAUACUCUUAAAUAUAUAUAUACAUAUAUCUUUUUUUGGUAAAACUAAUUAAUGUGUGUUGUAUAUCUUUUAAUACACUCAUGGCGAGGAUUUAAAGCAACUUAAAUUUGUCUAUUUUAAUCAUGAUUAUGAUUAUUAACUCCCAACCGUCUAUAUCUAUAUCUCACCAAAAUGUCCACAGAGUUUGCAUUAAACAAUAAUAAGCAGAGAUACCAAAACCAAAAUCAUGGUUCACAAGGCAUCAAACUAUGCAAUUAAAUCCAACAAAAUAUCUAAGAUUCACACUUUAUUUUAUUGCACAAGAGAUAUGACGAGUCAUUGGCAUUGAAUAUUGUAUUAAAUAAUAUAUGCUAACGAAACAUUUCAUGAUCAAAUACAACCAUCAUUGUUGACUUUUAAUAUGAGCUAAUUUAUACAACUGAAUGACCUCAUAGACUUUAAUCUAUAGCAUAAGACUUUUUUACCACAUGGGAUUACAUCUGUAGUCAAUGACGUGUAUCGCAAUUUUAAUGCCCGAUCAAGGAAAAGAAAAAGAAAUCCUUGACUAUUGAGCUGAUAAUAUGAUGUAGUGGGAGAUUGACAACUAGGGUUGGUCCAUAGAUCGAUGGUGCGAUGCAAUCAAAAACCUUCUGUGACUGGUAGAGAUUGAAGAUAAAUAUCUUUGUUUUGAUCCGUCGCAAAGUAUGAUGAAGCUUCUGCAUGGGUUAAGACCAUUUAUCUGCUAGACUGCUACCAGUACUAUAU